UCUAACCUCUACCUCCCAGCUUCUGCCUGAGCAAGCUGCUUCUUCUCUGAGAGCCCGCUUCUAACACAGAUUUAAUAAUAACCAUGCUUUGAGCUGUCUGCCAAGAUCAAAUGAAUAUAACUAUAUGUAAUGCUAAUUACCCUUCACAUACCUUCCUACCACUCCUGCUUCGCACUUCCAUGAGAGAACUGGGCCUCUGGUGAUGGCCCCAACAGAACCAGGCUAGUCCUUGCUAUUUUUGUUUUCAAGUGCAGAGAACAGAACUCAGGGCUUUGCACGUGCUAGGCAUUGACUACCUAUGAUGGAUGAAAGUUAUUCUAGAAGCCAAGACACAGAAGGAACAACAACAGCAACAACAACAGCAACAACAACAACAACAACAGUGCAGUCUACACCUUUUUGCGCUUUGGCUGCUCAUUUUGAGCUGAAGUGGCCUGAUACUCCCGUCAGGCAAUGUCUCCCACUGCUGGCUGCUCAGUCAAGCCUGUACUGUACAGAAUAUCGUCCUCGUUCACAAACAAAAGGCAGGAAACAGUGAGUCAAGUUAAAACACUGCUCCACAGUCACGGAACCAUGACUGCGCCAUUAAUCCCCGCAUCUAAACUCUUUCUAUGGGUGAGAUAGAGUGAAUAUUGAAUAAAUGGUGUUGAAUCAGUACAUUAA